AGUGAACGCUGGCGGUAGGCCUAACACAUGCAAGUCGAACGGCAGCACAGUAAGAUCUUGCUCUUACGGGUGGCGAGUGGCGGACGGGUGAGGAAUACAUCGGAAUCUACUUUUUCGUGGGGGAUAACGUAGGGAAACUUACGCUAAUACCGCAUACGACCUACGGGUGAAAGCAGGGGAUCUUCGGACCUUGCGCGAUUGAAUGAGCCGAUGUCGGAUUAGCUAGUUGGCGGGGUAAAGGCCCACCAAGGCGACGAUCCGUAGCUGAUCUGAGAGGAUGAUCAGCCACACUGGAACUGAGACACGGUCCAGACUCCUACGGGAGGCAGCAGUGGGGAAUAUUGGACAAUGGGCGCAAGCCUGAUCCAGCCAUACCGCGUGGGUGAAGAAGGCCUUCGGGUUGUAAAGCCCUUUUGUUGGGAAAGAAAAGCAGCAGGUUAAUACCCCGCUGUUCUGACGGUACCCAAAGAAUAAGCACCGGCUAACUUCGUG
rnacentral:rRNA from 1 species